AGUGGAAUUGCUGAUCGUAUGGUAACUCUGUGUUUAACUUUUUGAGGAACUGUCAAAUUGUUUUCCAAAGUGGCUGUACCAUUUUGCAUUCCCAACGGCAAU
rnacentral:pre_miRNA from 2 species